AACGAACGCUGGCGGCAGGCUUAACACAUGCAAGUCGAACGCCCCGCAAGGGGAGUGGCAGACGGGUGAGUAACGCGUGGGAAUCUACCCAGUUCUACGGAACAACAGAGGGAAACUUCUGCUAAUACCGUAUACGCCCUAAGGGGGAAAGAUUUAUCGGAAUUGGAUGAGCCCGCGUAAGAUUAGCUAGUUGGUGAGGUAAUGGCUCACCAAGGCGACGACCUUUAGCUGGUCUGAGAGGAUGAUCAGCCACACUGGGACUGAGACACGGCCCAGACUCCUACGGGAGGCAGCAGUGGGGAAUAUUGGACAAUGGGCGCAAGCCUGAUCCAGCCAUGCCGCGUGAGUGAUGAAGGCCUUAGGGUUGUAAAGCUCUUUCAGUAGGGAAGAUAAUGACGGUACCUACAGAAGAAGCCCCGGCUAACUUCGUGCCAGCAGCCGCAGUAACAC
rnacentral:rRNA from 1 species